rnacentral:snRNA from 1 species
GGAUGAUUGCUUGAGCCCAGGAGUUCAAGACUGCAGUGAGCUGUGAUCACGCCCCUGCGCUCCACCCUGGGCAACAAGA